rnacentral:rRNA from 1 species
CUGGCUCAGAGCGAACGGUGGCGGCGUGGAUUAGGCAUGCAAGUCGAGCGCGAAAGGCCCGCAAGGGCUGAGUAAAAGCGGCGGACGGGUGAGUAACGUAUGGACAACCUACCUCCAACCCGGGGAUAACAGCUGGAAACGGCUGCUAAUACCCGAUAGCUCCGGUAGCGAAUUUCGCAGCCGGAUAAAGGGGGGCAACUCCCAGUUAGAGAGGGGUCCAUAUCCCAUCAGCUAGUUGGCGGGGUAAUGGCCCACCAAGGCAACGACGGGUAGCCGGACUGAGAGGUCGACCGGCCACAUCGGGACUGAGACACUGCCCGGACUCCUACGGGAGGCUGCAGUCGAGAAUCUUCCGCAAUGUGCGAAAGCAUGACGGAGCGACGCCGCGUGCAGGAUGAAGGCCUCGGUGUAACUGCUGUCACCCGUUAACGAACGUUACAGUUAAC